rnacentral:misc_RNA from 1 species
GAUGAAGAACGUAGCGAAAUGCGAUAAGUAGUGUGAAUUGCAGAAUUCAGUGAAUCAUCGAAUCUUUGAACGCACAUUGCGCCCCUCGGUAUUCCGUGGGGCAUGCCUGUUCGAGCGUCAUUUAACCCCUCAAGCCUAGCUUGGUAUUGGGUGCUUGUCCCACCUCUCGCGCGGCGACUCACCUCAAAGUCAUUGGCAGCCCGCAUCUCGCCGGCCGUGAGCGCAGCACAGACGCGCUCUUGGCAACGACGGAUCGGCUCUCCAAAAGCUUAUUUCAACCACUGACCUCGGAUCAGGUAGGGAUACCCGCUGAACUUAAGCAUAUCAAUAAGCGGAGGA